UACGUAGGUGGCAAGCGUUGUCCGGAAUUAUUGGGCGUAAAGCGCGCGCAGGCGGUCUUUUAAGUCUGAUGUGAAAGCCCACGGCUCAACCGUGGAAGGUCAUUGGAAACUGAAAGGCUUGAGUACAGAAGAGGAAAGCGGAAUUCCACGUGUAGCGGUGAAAUGCGUAGAGAUGUGGAGGAACACCAGUGGCGAAGGCGGCUUUCUGGUCUGUAACUGACGCUGAGGCGCGAAAGCGUGGGGAGCAAACAGG
rnacentral:rRNA from 1 species